GGUGGCAUGGCUCAGGAGGUAGAGCUUGCAGGCUCGGAAUCAGAGGGCUCCUGGUUCGAUCCCCAGCUCCUCCA